GUGGCCGGCUUGGACUUGUGGGCGUGACAACAUUUUUUCGAUUUUCGCACUGAGAUGCAAGUAGUCUUGGCUAGCAAUAAAGACUUUGGAGGCAGUCUAAAGAGAUUGUUAAUGAUCAUGUUUUCAUCUGCUACACAAAAUCGUAAUAUGAUGAACAGGGAAAAAGAAAAAAGGAGUGAAGCCGGAUAGAAUGAAAGAUAAUGAAAAGAAUGUACGCCGCGUAGAUACAAAAUAAAGCGAUAUGAGGGAACUUACCGACGCAAUACAUUUUUUGUUGCGUAGGUUAGGGUGAGCAGCUCCCACAUUCGCACAGGCACAUACUGACAGUGCGGAUUGCAGUGGACAACUCGAAUGGACUUUCCCGUCCAUGCAAUUGUCAAAGAAUGAGCGUGGAAACAGGCAGAUUGCGUUAAAGACUGCAAGAGAUGGAAACUAUAAUCGUUUCAGAACUCACAACGCAGCAGCGGCAGAGUAGACCGGAUGGCGGACGGACAAGCGUUGAGUCUGAUGUCAGGGGCAUGAAGUUGCAAUGAAAAUGAAAUUGCAAACGGCCCAACACAAGGCGGGAUAUUUAUACGAGACUGCAUUGGUGUGAGCGCCGCGCAUUAUAUUUAGUUGCUAGUGCCUGGUUCUACUAUGUUCGGUGUGGCGGC
rnacentral:sRNA from 1 species